rnacentral:rRNA from 1 species
AUUGAACGCUGGCGGCAGGCCUAACACAUGCAAGUCGAACGAGUGGCGGAGGGGAGUGUUAUGUCUGAAACACUGCCUGAUGGAGGGAUAUAACUACGGGAAGCGGUCGCUAAUCCCGCAUACCAUCAGAUGUGCCCAGAUGGGAUUAGCUUGUGGGUGGGGUAACGGCUCACCAAGGCGACGCUCCCUAGCUGGUCUGAGAGGAUGACCAGCCACACUGGAACUGAGACACGGUCCAGACUCCUACGGGAGGCAGCAGUGGGGAAUAUUGCACAAUGGGCGCAAGCCUGAUGCAGCCAUGCCGCGUGUAUGAAGAAGGCCUUCGGGUUGUAAAGUACUUUCAGCGGGGAGGCGUUACCCGCAGAAGAAGCACCGGCUAACUCCGUGCCAGCAGCCGCGGUAAUUC